GCUGGGCACUGUGGUGCAUGCCUGUGAUCCCAGCAGCUCGGAAGGCUGAGGCAGGAGGAUCGCUGAGUUCAAAGCCAGCCUCAGCAAAAGCGAGGUGCUAAGCAACUCAGUGAGACCCUGUCUCUA
rnacentral:sRNA from 1 species